UACGUAGGGUGCAAGCGUUGUCCGGAAUUAUUGGGCGUAAAGAGCUCGUAGGCGGUCUGUCGCGUCGGAUGUGAAAACCCAGGGCUCAACCCUGGGCCUGCAUUCGAUACGGGCAGACUAGAGUUCGGUAGGGGAGACUGGAAUUCCUGGUGUAGCGGUGAAAUGCGCAGAUAUCAGGAGGAAUACCGAUGGCGAAGGCAGGUCUCUGGGCUGAUACUGACGCUCAUGCACGAAAGCGUGGGGAGCAAACAGG
rnacentral:rRNA from 1 species